GCGGCUGCCCCCAUCCAAGGAAGGCAGCAGGCGCGCAAAAUUACCCAAUCCUGACACAGGAGGUAGUGACAAUAAAUAACAAUGCCGGGCCUUUUCAGGUCUGGCUAUUGGAAUGAGUGCAAUUUAAAAACCUCAACGAGGAUCCAUUGGAGGGCAAGUCUGGUGCCAGCAGCCGCGGUAAUUCCAGCUCCAAUAGCGUAUAUUUAAGUUGUUGCAGUUAAAAAGCUCGUAGUUGGAUUUCGGCUUUGGGCGACCGGUCCGCCGUUUCGGUGUGCACUGGUCGGCCUUUGCUUUCUGUCGGGGACGCGCUCUCCUUAAUUGGUGACGCGGAGUCGGCGCUGUUACUUUGAAAAAAUUAGAGUGUUCAAGGCAGGCUUACGCUCUGAAUACUAUAGCAUGGAAUAACACGAUAGGACUCCGAGCCUAUUUUGUUGGUCUUCGGGACCGGAGUAAUGAUUAAGAGGGACAGUUGGGGGCAUUCGUAUUCCGAUGUCAGAGGUGAAAUUUCUUGGAUUUUCGGAAGACGAACUUCUGCGAAAGCAUUUGCCAAGGAUUUUUC
rnacentral:rRNA from 1 species